AAGUGGGGGCAACUCCAUGAGUACAGCGGCGACCGGGUGAGUAACACGUGACUAACCUACCCUUGAGUGGGGAAUAACUCCGGGAAACCGGAGCUAAUACCGCAUAACACCGCAAGGUCAAAGGAGCAAUUCGCUUAAGGAGGGGGUCGCGGUUGAUUAGCUAGUUGGUGGGGUAAUGGCCCACCAAGGCGAUGAUCAAUAGCCGGCCUGAGAGGGCGCACGGCCACACUGGAACUGAAACACGGUCCAGACUCCUACGGGAGGCGGCAGUGGGGAAUUUUGCGCAAUGGGGGAAACCCUGACGCAGCAACGCCGCGUGAAGGAUGAAGGUCUUUGGA
rnacentral:rRNA from 1 species